rnacentral:rRNA from 1 species
UACGAAGGGGGCUAGCGUUGCUCGGAAUUACUGGGCGUAAAGCGCACGUAGGCGGUCUUUUAAGUCGGGGGUGAAAUCCUGGAGCUCAACUCCAGAACUGCCUUCGAUACUGGAAGACUUGAGUCCGGGAGAGGUGAGUGGAAUUCCUGGUGUAGCGGUGAAAUGCGUAGAUAUCAGGAGGAAUACCUGUGGCGAAAGCGGCUCACUGGACCAUAACUGACGCUGAUGCACGAAAGCUAGGGGAGCAAACAGG